rnacentral:tRNA from 2 species
GCGGGUGUAGCUCAGUGGCAGAGCAUCUGCUUCCCAAGCAGAGGGUCGCGGGUUCGACCCCCGUCGCCCGCUCCA